UACGGAGGAUGCAAGCGUUAUCCGGAAUGAAUGGGCGUAAAGGGUCCGCAGGUGGCAAUGUAAGUCUGCUGUCAAAGCGUCUGGCUCAACCAGAUAAAGGCAGUGGAAACUACAUAGCUAGAGUAAGGUAGGGGUAGAGGGAAUUCCUGGUGUAGCGGUGAAAUGCGUAGAGAUCAGGAAGAACACCGGUGGCGAAAGCGCUCUGCUGGACCUUAACUGACACUGAGGGACGAAAGCUAGGGGAGCGAAUGGG
rnacentral:rRNA from 1 species